AAAACACCCAACCACGAAGGUAAGCUGGCGGAGCCACCGCACCAGAGAACCCUGCCGCUGGUAAGCUUCAGUUUUUCAAUUUUUUCCAGCUAACCGAGGCCUCUUAACGUGUUUUCUCGCAGGGAUGGUACAAAAUCGACUGAAAUCGACCAAAAAGGCCAAAAAUAGCCAACUCAAGGCAAACAACCGCCGCGAGCAACAGUGCUGUCGUCGGAGCACGG
rnacentral:lncRNA from 1 species